CCUACGGGAGGCAGCAGUGAGGAAUAUUGGUCAAUGGGCGCGAGCCUGAACCAGCCAAGUAGCGUGAAGGAUGACUGCCCUACGGGUUGUACACUUCUUUUAUAAAGGAAUCAAGUGAGGCCCGUGUGCCUUUUUGUAUGUACUUUAUUAAUCAGGCUCGGCUAACUCCGUGCCAGCAGCCGCGGUAAUACGGAGGAUCCGAGCGUUAUCCGGAUUUAGUGGGUUUAAAGGGAGCGUAGAUGGGUUGUUAAGUCAGUUGUGAAAGUUUGCGGCUCAACCGUAAAAUUGCAAUUGAUACUGGCAGUCUUGAGUACAGUUGAGGUAGGCGGAAUGCGUGGUGUAGCGGUGAAAUGCUGAGAUAUCACGAAGAACUCCGAUUGCGAAGGCAGCUUACUAAACUGCCACUGACAUUGAUGCUCGAAAGUGUGGGUAUCAAACAGGAUUAGAUACCCUGGUAGUC
rnacentral:rRNA from 1 species